CAAUCAUAUAUAUAAAAGGGACAACAAAAAGAAUGCCACAAUGACCACGAAAAGUUACCUAAACAUUCACUUAAUUAGCCUCAAUCACAAAAAGGAACAACAAAGUUUGAAAAAUAAAAUACAGGAUGUCAUAAUAACUAUGGAGUAUUAGAUAUUUACCUAAUUAAACUCGAUCAUACAGAGUAAGAACAAAAUAAAAUCGAAAUAAACACCGAGAUACUACAAUGAUCACAUCGUAUUAUAUGACUUAACAGCGACAUCUGUAAGAAGGAUAUGCCUCAAUGACAACAAAGAAUUGCGAAAUAAUGCUGACUAAGCAUACACAGUAAACCAAUAUGGCGUGCCCAGCAACGGGCUUCUGGCUGCGAGAAUCAAUACCGUAUUUAACGGAUUUUUAUGUUGAAAGCGAUUGUUAGUGGCUAUUAGAGUAGUGCAGAAUAAUUAUGGGUUCUGCAGUAUUCGUGGCAUAUAGGUUGGGCGGAAAAUAAUAAAACAAGAACAGUACACAGCGAGCACACAACUUGACGAACAUGGAUGGGAAAAGCAGCACCACAGGGAUAGAAUUUACUCUCAACUGAAGAACUGCACAAGAUUUGUCGCUGUCGAGAAGAUUGGUAUCAUCAGCAAACAAUUUGGUAAAGAAGGAGGAACAACAAGUUAUGUCAUUUACAUAGACUAGAAAUAGAAGAGGACCCAAGCAACUACCUUGAGGAACUCCGUGAGUCACUGAUUUGAAAAGAGGGAUCACUCGGGCAAUUUUGAGACAUGCAGGGAAGAUUCCAAACAAAAGUGAACAAUUGAAGAAUUCAGCCAAACAUGGUGCAAUGAGAUCAGCAACUAAUUUAAGGAAACGUGCUGGAGCGUUCGGAAGUGUUUCCUUUCAAAAAGUGGGAUUCAAACAUCUUAUUUUUGUGGCGAAUAGAAGCAAGCAGCCCUUUGGUUAGCCAUGGUUUUGAUCGUAGCCUUUUUUGACGACGUGAGAGUGGUCGAAGCGGGGCGUGGCGAUCAAUCAGGGAUCGAAUGUUCACAUGGAAAAUACAAAAGUCAGACACUGAUUGAGAAGAAUUUAAAUCAACAACUCCUACAUUAUUGCACGUUUCAAUGUCACAGGAAUAAGCUAAUUGAGGGUCGUUUGCUAAAGCCAUGUAUGAAAUAUUCAUCCAGAGAUGAUAGAGAUUCCUGGAUUCCAAUGCUGGUCGGGGUGGUUGAAGAGAGAUCCAGAGCUAAUUUUUCAAUGUGCUGUUCAAUUAUAGCCGGUAUUUCCAGGCGCAGUGUCUUUAGAAUUGUGCUCUCAAGUAUGGAGACUAAAUUGGAUAUAUUGUGUUCUGUUAAGUUGGAUGCUGAAGAAGUACAUGCUGCUUGACGUUCAGUUGGACUUUUACGUUUCGGGGGUUCAGGAGGGGCAUCGCUUGAUCUUGAAUAUGGCAUAUUGUCCUUCCUUGAAUCCACAGACAGUCAGAUUGAUGUUGUGAACAGAUGUUAUAGUUCAUUUGACGAAUUCAACACCAGAUGAUUCAACAUUCCAUUUUUAGAGUGUCCAUUAUAGGCUAUGAUAUUAUUUAACACUAGUCAACUAUAUCUGCAAACUUAAUACAAC